rnacentral:miRNA from 15 species
ACAUCAAUUCACUAGCUUUCAA